CAAAAACACAGGUCCGUGCGAAGCCGCAAGGCGAUGUAUACGGACUGACGCCUCCCCGGUGCUGGAAGGUUAAGCGGACCGGUCAGCCCACCUUGUGUGGGUGAAGCUGGGAAGUUAAGCCCCAGUAACGGCGGUGGUAACUAUAACCAUCCUAAGGUAGCGAAAUUCCUUGUCGGGUAAGUUCCGACCUGCACGAAUGGCGUAACGACUUCUCUACUGUCUCGACCACGAACUCGGCGAAAUUGCAUUACGAGUAAAGAUGCUCGUUACGCGCAGAAGGACGGAAAGACCCCGGGACCUUUACUAUAGCUUGGUAUUGGUGUUCGGUACGGCUUGUGUAGGAUAGGUGGGAGACUGUGAAACUCAGACGCUAGUUUGGGUGGAGUCAUUGUUGAAAUACCACUCUGGCCGUGCUGCACAUCUAACCUCGGCCCGUGAUCCGGGCCAGGAACAGUGCCUGGUGGGUAGUUUAACUGGGGCGGUUGCCUCCUAAAAAGGUAACGGAGGCGCUCAAAGGUUUCCUCAGCCUGGUC
rnacentral:rRNA from 1 species